ensembl:lncRNA
AUCGUGGAUGUUGAAGGAGACCAGCAGUGUGACUGUGGGUGUGCCCUGCUCUUGUUGCCAGGGUGUCUGAAUCUGGCUGAGGCCGGAAGGUUGUACAAUGUGGGUCUUGGAUUCGACCUGCAGCUGUGAGAGGAAGCGGACGGAGCGGCCGUGGUUGCCUGCAGCUUCAUCCAGCCACGCGGCUGAGUUCUGGCAGGAGAAGGUGAAGCGCUGCUCGGCCGUGGCACUCAGCAGUUUCAGGAAGUUCAGCUGAACCACGUUCACUGGGGCCCCGUCGGCAUCCACGUAGAAGAACUGGGGCCUCACCUUCUUCCCCCGCCGAAAGGUGCUGUACCAGCUUCCGGGCUUCUCCUUGGACCAGGAGGCCAGCUUCACCUGGGGAGUGGGGGUGGGGCCAUUGCAGCAGGUGCCCUGGAUGCCCACCCUGGCCCCUCGGCACCUGCCUCCUCUGGGAAGGUGCGGAUCCAGCCACCCUGGGCUGCGUACUCAGCAGGUACCCAAGGGUAAGGUUUCCCCCCACCCCGGGAAACCCUCAACCCACGGCUGGGGGAUGAGACAAAUACUCAAACACCCUUCAGCCCCAAGCUGGACAAUUCCUGCAUGCUAGGCAAGUGCUCUACCACUCUGCUACAUCCCUAACCCUUUUUAUUUUAUUUUGAGACAGUCUUGCUGAUUUACCCAGCCCGGCUUUGGACUUGUGGUCCUCCUGCCUCAACCUCCUGAGUAGCCAUGGUUACAGGUGUGCACCAUCAUGCCUGGUCUUAGCGGUACCUUUUUGUUUCUGUUUCUUUGAGACAGGGUCUUACUAUGUAGUUCAAGCUGACCUCAAAGUCACUGUGUAGUCUAGGCUAGCCUCCAACUCAUGGUGAUCCUUCUGCCUUGGCCUCAUGAGUUCUGGGAUCACAAAUGUGGGCCACCUUGUCCAGUGACUUUCUUCAGCUCCAUUUUACAGACAGAAAACCCAAGGUGUCAGCUCUGAAUUCCAACCCAGGGCAUCCAGGACUCAGAGUCAAUGCCACUCACCCCUCGGUCUUCACUUUUGCUAAACCUGGCACUUGUGUGGGGAGGCCAUGGGCUCAGGGUUCCCAGGUGAAGAACCCCAGGAUUUCCAGGGGGACCUAUAAAAUGUAGGGGUGCACACCUGUAAUCACAGCACUCAGGAGGCUGAGGCAGGAGGAUCACUGGGAGUUCACACCCUGCCUGAACUACAUAGCAACCCUGUCUCAAAAACGGGACGGAAGAAGGACAAGCCCCGCCGCGGUUUUCCAGCUCACCGUCUCAAAUCUCUUGUCGGGGUACAGGCAGGUCUGGCCUCCUGCCGUGAAGUUGCAGAAAACCCUGAGCGCAUCCCGCGCACAGCCCUGGUUGGGGUCGAUCCAGUAAUCGCCUGCGAGCCAGGGGUCCAGGUGAGUGGAAGUUGGGGGCCCCCCCAGUGCCCGCCCCAGGAGGGAAGGAUCUGGCCUCACCGUCGGGCAGGUGCGGAUGAUUUCGCUGCAGCUCGUGGCACACGAGGCCCGGGCGCUCGGCGGUGCCCGGAGGUCGCUGCAGCUGCUCCAGCUCUGCGCUCAGCGACGCCAGCGAGGCCAGAACCUCCUCCAGGCCGCCCUCGGGGACUGCGCGGCGGCGGCGUCUGCGGCUGCGCAGCCCCGGGAACUCGCCCGGGGGUCCCUGGGCAUGGGGGGCGGGGAAGACGGAGGAGAGGCGCGCGCAUGGGGGGGAGACGAUGGAGACACAGAUGAGGAAGGCGAGGGAGAGAGACCAGGGGAAGGAAAGGAAGACAGAAAAAGACGGAAAUGCAACAGUUGAGCUACGACAGAGACAGGGAGGGAGAGACGGGAGCUCCCCACGAAUCCGCUCCCCCAGCCCAGAUGUCCUGGGGCCCUCGAGGGCCUGCUCUGGUCACCUGAAUCCCUCAACCCCAGGGGACCCCCAAACACAGUCCCUGCCCUCCCUGGCCCCUGAUCUGGUGUCCGGGGGACGGGGGGAACUCACCGGGGGGCCGGGAGGACCUGGGGGCCCAGUGUCGCCAGGAGGACCAAGGGAGCCCUAGGGAAGAGGCCAGAUCGAGGCGAAGCCUGUGUGGAGACCCCGCCUUCCAACGCACACGCUCGCUCACACGCACACGCACGCAGGCACACGCACGCACGCACGGACGCACGCACACACGCACACGCUCUCACGGCCGCAGGAGUGGGCUCCCGGUGUUCCACGGUAAGCAGUAGCACCCGCAUUUCUUCCCAUAUUUUCCCAUCCCCCAAAUCAACAUCACAUCUUGGACAAGUCGUCAUUGACUCGGCAGAGGGUUCAGGGACUCACCGGGGACCCUUUGGAGCCUUUCAGUCCCACAGGGCCCUGCGGGGUGGAGACGUGGAGGGUUGGGUCCCGGCCUGGCCUGCCGUGGUGACCCCCAUCCUACAACCCCCAUACUCACCACCACGCCAGGGGCCCCAGGGUGGCCCACAGAGCCCUUAGGACCAGGGGAACCCUGGAAAAGGGACACAAGGGUCGCUCUUAAUGGGGUGCAGCCCGAUUGCCCAGAUGUCCCUCAGACGAGCCCUCAGUCCCUCAGAGGAAGACCCCAAACCCUAGACAAGUCUCCAGAGAGACCCCCCAAAAUCUAGGCACAGCCUCCAGCCUGCACGUUGCCAGGUACAGUCCCCCAUUUCUCCCACUCACGACUCCCAUCAUUUCCCCAGCCCCACACUUAGUCUCUAGGUAACCCCAUCCUGCCUUCCCAACCACCCCGGACCCCCACUUCUGAGCCUAUCUCUCUGUGCAGGGCAGGACACUUACAGGGUCUCCCUGGAGGCCAUGGGAGCCCGGCACACCUGAAAGGCCCCGGUCCCCCUUCUCGCCGGCCUCCCCAGGGGGACCGAUGAGGCCUUGCAGUCCGAUAUGGCCCUGGAGGAGAAGGAGGCACAUGAGGGGCAGGUGUGGGGGACUCUGGGGGCCAGUGAGGUGGGCAGCAGAGGCCGCGCUGGGCUCCCCGACUCCUGCCAGGAGGAGACUGGACGAGCCGUGGGGUGCAUACCGCAGGAGGCGCCCUUACCUUCUCCCCCUUUGGGCCAGCGUCUCCCUUCAGCCCUGGGAGGCCAGGGGGGCCCUGGGGGGACAAGGUGUGGUGUGGGUGGGACUCGGUGUGAGAGCUCAGGGUCCAUGGGGGAGGGGGGCUGUCCCUUAAGGGAGAUGACCCGCGUUUCCAGGGGGACACAGGAGGGGGCUGAGGGAGGGGGGCGGUUGGGAGUGGCCGAGGUCCGUGGGGCCAUAAAGGCGGACCAGAGGGGUGGUCAGUGUGGACGGCCAGUGUAGACCACAGACGCGGGCGGUCAGAACAGAUGUUUGGAGGAGACGGUCAGGGAGGGGCCAGCUGCGCCGUCAGCACCAGUGGCCCCCGGAUGCCCGGGGGGUGCCCAGUGUGGGCCUCAGAGCUGGGACCUCGGGGACGAAGCCAUCUCUUACCAGGGGGCCUGGAGGGCCCAUCAGGCCCGGGGGUCCCAGAAGGCCUGGCUCUCCCUGCGGUCAGAGCGGAACAGAGUAGGUCAUUCCGGGCCGCAGGUCAGUGUGGACAUCCCGCCUGCCCUCAGGCUCCUCCCGGCUGUGACGAGAGCCUGAGGGGGGCCAUCCAGCCCUCCACCCCCGCUCACCCCACUCACCACAGGGCCGGGGAUCCCCUGAAGGCCCUCGGGCCCUGCACGUCCAGGGGGCCCUUGCGCCCCCACGGGGCCUGUCCUCCCUGGGGGCCCAUCAGGACCCGGCUCACCCUGAAAUGGACAGGGUCAGGGAGGGGCAGAGAGGGCGGCAGGGCACCGGCCUCCCCACCCCUGGGAGCUACCAGGAGAGGGGAGACCUGAGUGUCACAGGCACCAUCUCCUCCCAGGGCCGCACUGUGGGGUCAGCGCAGGGACCCGCUGGGUGGGCUCUCACCUUGGCACCUUUGGCCCCUUCUCUGCCUUCUUGACCCAGGCGGCCUGAGGGACCCUGAGGAAGGAGCAGUGAGUGGGGGGGUGCUAUAGACUUCAUGGGGUUCUGUGGGCUGAGCCAGGGCACCCGGCCAGUCACUCACCCUCUUUCCAGGGGGUCCCGGGGUGCCAGGUUCCCCAGAAGCACCAGGCGGCCCCUGUGGGGAGGGGGCAGCUUGGCGUUAUUGUCUGCCAGCGCUAACAGGAUGCCGGUGACCAGAGACAGCCUCCCCCCAGACACCACCCUGCACCCCCAAGGGGCUCUCAUUCAGCGGGGCCCCAGAAAGGCAAAGCAGGAGCAUGUACAGGGGCCCUGGGUGCCCCCCAAACCCUCCCCUCUGCUCCCCCAGUUCACCCACCAUCCACCCAACCCCUCUCUCAACGGCACCCCCCCCCACUCACCGGGGCCCCAACAUCACCAGGGUCUCCCUUUGCCCCCGGAGAGCCAUCUGUUCCCUGCGGGGGGCCAGGGGAAGACAGAGUUGGGAGGGAUCAUCAAGAGGUCUUGGGGGGUCCAUGAGGAUUCGGGGUGGGGGUUGGAGGAAAAUGAGGGUUGUUCGGUCCACCAACCUUGCCCAGGUCUGUGGUUUGGGGGAAAUGAGGACAGAAUUAAAGAACAACUGAGCUUUGGGGAAAGGGUGACACUCACCACCGGCCCAGGGUCUCCUGGGGGUCCUAGAUCUCCAGCCAUCCCUGUAGGGCCCUGGGACACAGAAAGAUUCAUAAUCACAUCUCUGGGCUGGGAGGAGCCAUUCACUGGUUGGACAGAUACUGUCCCAGCUCAUGCUCAGCACACACUGUGUUCAGAGUCCCCAGCCUGGUGAGCAAGCUGCCCAGGGUUUAAUGGCGCAGGUGCCGAGCUAAGACUGUCCGAUGUGUCUCCUCACUUCAUCCUCACUUCACCUUCCUGGAAGCUUCCACCUUGGGACUGGACCCAGAGAGGCGACACAGAAGGCAGUGGAGGUGAUGAGGUACCACCGACACUCUGGAGCCUUUCCUCACCCCCAAAUUACACCAAGAAAGACUUCAACCUGUACCCAAUGCCAAAUUCACAUCAACUCCAAGUCUGACCCAGCAUCAUCCUUGGCCUUUCCAACCAUGCUAUGGUUAUUUCAGGUGAAAUUAACUUCCACCCUGUCCAAUGAUGGACUGUAUGUGUAUCUUUCAUUCAUCCAUCCAUUCAUCCACCCCUCCACCCAUUCAUCCACCCAUUCAGGCACUCGUCCAUCCAUGCUUUCAGCCAUCUAUCCAUUCAUCUAAAUUCG